AGUCCACGCCGUAAACGAUGUCUACUUGGAGGUUGUGGCCUUGAGCCGUGGCUUUCGGAGCUAACGCGUUAAGUAGACGCCUGGGGAGUACGGUCGCAAGAUUAAAACUCAAAUGAAUUGACGGGGGCCCGCACAAGCGGUGGAGCAUGUGGUUUAAUUCGAUGCAACGCGAAGAACCUUACCUACUCUUGACAUCCAGAGAAC
rnacentral:rRNA from 1 species